ACUCCUGCGGGAGGCAGCAGUGGGGAAUUUUGGACAAUGGGCGAAAGCCUGAUCCAGCAAUGCCGCGUGAGUGAAGAAGGCCUUCGGGUUGUAAAGCUCUUUUGUCAGGGAAGAAACGGUGAGAGCUAAUAUCUUUUGCUAAUGACGGUACCUGAAGAAUAAGCACCGGCUAACUACGUGCCAGCAGCCGCGGUAAUACGUAGGGUGCAAGCGUUAAUCGGAAUUACUGGGCGUAAAGCGUGCGCAGGCGGUUUUGUAAGUCUGAUGUGAAAUCCCCGGGCUCAACCUGGGAAUUGCAUUGGAGACUGCAAGGCUAGAAUCUGGCAGAGGGGGGUAGAAUUCCACGUGUAGCAGUGAAAUGCGUAGAUAUGUGGAGGAACACCGAUGGCGAAGGCAGCCCCCUGGGUCAAGAUUGACGCUCAUGCACGAAAGCGUGGGGAGCAAACAGGAUUAGAAACCCUAGUAGUCCCA
rnacentral:rRNA from 1 species